UGCAAAUUUCCAUUCAUUUUGUUCAAUUUCCAGGGGUAAAUGUGGCUUUUCAUAAUUAUUUGCACACUACCCAAUUGUCCGUCCAUUCAAGGGAGAGAGAGAGAGAGUAUGUACUAUGAUAUGAUAUCUCCUUUAUCAAACUAUGACAUAAUAAAGUGGGUCUUUGGAAGCUUCAACACUCAAAAUCUCCAAUCCUUAUUCCGUAGCACAAGAGAACAUACAGCCAGAGCCAUUUUCGGUUUUUUGAGUUCCUUCUUCUUCCUUUGUUGUUGUAUUUCAUAUUUAUUACAACUCUUUUAGAACAUCAUCAUGGUAUUAAUGUUUUGAAAUUGUUGUUCCCGCGUUACAGGAAAAUCAUGGACUCAAAAGAGACGAAAUUGAAGAUGAAAAUUACAAAAGCUGCAAUGGAGGAUACUGAGAAACUUAAGGCUGAUAACUCAUCAAUGGAAGCUGAAAAUCGACAGGUUUCGAAAGAUCCAAAUGUCAAGUUGAAGCUUACAAAAUCCUCAACUGAAACAGAGAAACUUAAGGCUAUGGUGGUUUGUUUCAAUUUGCGAUGAAGCUGUUGCUGUAGCAAUUUCUACCAUCAGAGAGUUCCAAAAUGACUUUAAAGAGGUAGUAUUACAUUCCAUUUACUCCAUUUUCUCUAUUUGAAUAGUAUAAAAUUUGGAUUUUGCUCCUUUAAACUGUAGAAGUUAGACAUCCGAAUCAUUAGUGCAAAGAUCAAAGGUUGAUAAAUCAUGAGUUUGUUAAAAGUCCAAUUUAUUGAUUUUUAAUUAAAGUUGAGAUGCAUUACACACUUUAUUAAAGGAAUG